UGGACGUUGCGUUGGAAAGUUUCAUGAACCUUAUCACUUAGAGGAAGGAGAAGUCGUAACAAGGUUUCCGUAGGUGAACCUACGGAAGGAUCAUUCG
rnacentral:rRNA from 1 species